AUAUAUCCAUCUUGCAUUAAAAAUUCCCAUCAAAUUUGCAACAAACGUGCAUAAGACAUUCUGCAAAGUUGCUUCGACCAGCCAAGUUUUAACAUAGGCAGCCAAAAAAUACUCCGUUAUAUCGUCAACAAUCUGCAUACAUAAUAUGACACACAAGUAUAAUGCAGGAUAGCAAAAUACUUAGUAAGGAGUAUAUUUUAAGAGUAUAUUUCAAAGAACUACCGUACAUUAAAAUAUACACUUAAACUGUUAUUAUUAGAACUGCAUUAAAAUAUAAAUUAAACAUCUACUUAUACUUUAUAACUAUU